GGAAGGAUCAUUAACAAAUCAGUCGGUGAUCACACAUCAUAACAGUGAUCACUAGACAUUAGCGCUUCACACGGAUGCUGUGAGUGCAUAAACGCUCUAUUGUAAUGUUGUAUUGUGUGUGUGGGGAUAAUAACAGAUGAUCACUUUUAACAACGGAUCUCUUGGCUCCUGCAACGAUGAAGAACGCAGUAAUGUGCGAAAAGUAAUGCGAAUUGCAUACCUCUGCGAGUCAUCUAGUCUUUGAACGCAAAUGGCACUGUCACGUCAAGUGACAGUAUGCCUGUUUGAGAACCAUAUAAUCAAUCACAACAGUUGCUUGUGGACUUGGUCACUGACUGCUAACUACGGUCUUGACUGGAACGGUUAGCUCGGUGUGCACAGUACAUGUGUGAUAGUUGAUCACUUGUAGUGUGUACGGGGAUAUAUCUGAAGCUACAAAUUACAUGACAGUUCAUUAAAUUGGUCUCAAAUCAGGCAAGGCUACCCGCUGAACUUAAGCAUAUCAGUAAGCGGAGGAAAAGAAACUAACAAGGAUUCCCUCAGUAACGGCGAGUGAAGUGGGAAUAGCUCAAAUUUAAAAUCUAGCACUUUUGUGCUCGAAUUGUAGUCUAAAGAGUUGUCAUCAGCGCAGUGCAAGUGCACAAGUCUCCUGGAAUGGAGCAUCACAGAGGGUGAGAAUCCCGUUUGGGUACGAGCUACUGCGCGAUACGAGGCAUACUCUAAGAGUCGAGUUGUUUGGGAAUGCAGCUCAAAAUGGGUGGUAAAUUUCAUCCAAGGCUAAAUACAGGCAGGAGACCGAUAGCGAACAAGUACCGUGAGGGAAAGAUGAAAAGCACCUUGAAAAGGGAGUUAAACAGCGCGUGAAAUUGUUAAAAGGGAAACGAUUGAGUCCAGCAUUGCAAGAAGUGCACGUGCCGGUGUAUGUCAGCUACUGAGCGCAAGCCAGUUAAGACUAAACUUGCACUGCACUCUUGCGAGUUCGGGCUGCUUUGGUGUGCCGGAGAAUGCUCAGUGGAAUGUACUCACAAUCACGUGAACUUAUAGCCGCUUUGUCAUGCGGUGCAGCCAGAGUGGUAGCGAGACUUGGCACGGUGUAACCAAUUCACUCGGCUAGACAGGACUGCGUGCAGACCUGGCGAUUCCUUGUGGUUGACUUUACUAGUGAGCAAGUGGGCGCGCCCUGAACGCAAUGGCCUUAAACGACCCGUCUUGAAACACGGACCAAGGAGUCUAACAUGUAUGCGAGUGUUUGAGUGGCAAACUCGACCGCGCAAUGAAAGUGUAAUGUGGGAACACAGUAAGAUGUGGGCACCAUGGACCGGCCGUUCUUUAGCGAGUGGACCGAGUCGGAGCAUAAAUGUUGGGACCCGAAAGAUGGUGAACUAUGCCUGGAUAGGAUGAAGCCAGAGGAAACUCUGGUGGAGGUCCGCAGCCGUUCUGACGUGCAAAUCGAUGGUCAAAUCUGGGCAUAGGGGCGAAAGACUAAUCGAACCAUCUAGUAGCUGGUUCCCUC
rnacentral:misc_RNA from 1 species